GACUUUACCAGACGAGCUGAGAGGAGGUGCAUGGCCGUCGCCAGCUCGUGCCGUGAGGUGUCCGGUUAAGUCCGGCAACGAGCGAGACCCCCGCUCCUAGUUGCUACUCAGCUCUAUUUAGAGCUGAGGCACUCUAGGAGGACUGCCGGCGCUAAGCCGGAGGAAGGAGGGGGCUACGGCAGGUCAGUAUGCCCCGAAACCCCUGGGCCACACGCGAGCUGCAAUGGUGGGGACAGCGGGAUCCGACCCCGAAAGGGGAAGGUAAUCCCUCAAACCCCGCCUCAGUAGGGAUCGAGGGUUGCAACUCACCCUCGUGAACGUGGAAUCCCUAGUAACCGCGUGUCACUAACGCGCGGUGAAUACGUCCCUGCUCCUUGCACACACCGCCCGUCGCUCCACCCGAGCUGGGGAUAAGUGAAGCCAUGUCUCUAAGGAGGCGUGGCUGAACUUAUCCCCGGCAAGGGGGGAGAAGUCGUAACAAGGUGGCCGUAGGGGAACCUGCGGCCGGAUCACCUCCUAU
rnacentral:rRNA from 1 species